rnacentral:rRNA from 1 species
GAUCCUGGCUCAGAUUGAACGCUGGCGGCAUGCUUUACACAUGCAAGUCGAACGGUAACAGGCCUUCGGGUGCUGACGAGUGGCGAACGGGUGAGUAAUACAUCGGAACGUGCCCAAUCGUGGGGGAUAACGCAGCGAAAGUUGCGCUAAUACCGCAUACGCCCUGAGGGGGAAAGCGGGGGACCGCAAGGCCUCGCGCGAAUGGAGCGGCCGAUGUCAGAUUAGCUAGUUGGUGGGGUAAAGGCUCACCAAGGCGACGAUCUGUAGCGGGUCUGAGAGGAUGGUCCGCCACACUGGGACUGAGACACGGCCCAGACUCCUACGGGAGGCAGCAGUGGGGAAUUUUGGACAAUGGGCGCAAGCCUGAUCCAGCCAUGCCGCGUGCGGGACGAAGGCCUUCGGGUUGUAAACCGCUUUCAGCCGGAAAGAAAUCGCUGACUUUAAUAGAGGCAGUGGAUGACGGUACCGGAAGAAGAAGCACCGGCUAACUACGUG